rnacentral:tRNA from 1 species
GAUGCUGUGGUGUAGUGGUUAUCACGUCAGUCUUACACACUUAAGGUCCCCAGUUCGAUCCCGGACAGCAUCA